rnacentral:lncRNA from 1 species
AUGCCAGGUGAUAUUUUAGGUUAUUCUUCUUUUAAUGCCCUUAUCCUUCCUUAUUCUCUUUCACCUUUGCAUUUCUUUAAACCUACUCCUCCAGGUUACUUAAUCAUCUCUUCUAUCCCUCGCCAUCAAUCACUCAUCCACCGUUUCUCCUCACAUGCCUGCUGCACUCUCACCGCUCACCUCUCAUUCACUGUUUCCUCACUUCUUGCCUCUUGUCCAUUGCUCCCUUGCCGUCAACCACUCGACCGCCACUUCUCCACUCUCGUUCGCUGCUCCCUCGCCGCUUGUCACUCGUCCACUGCUCCCUCGCUGCUCCCCUCUCGAUCGCUACUCUGUUGCCAUCUGGUAAUUGUAUGUCGCUUCUUCUCUCUCAUCCGCUCCUCCCUCGCCACACAUCUCUCAUCCUCCGUACCUUCGCCACUCGCCCUUGUCCAUUGGUCUCUCCCCACUCACCCCUCGUCCAUCGCUUUCUGUAUGUCUCUCCCUCAUCUGCUGUUUGACCUUUCCCCCUCUGCUUCUUAUUUGUCAUUUCUCCCCUCCACUCUUUGCUCAAGAUCCUUAACUCACUGGCACCUUCUGUCCCACUGUCUGGUGGUCCUCUUUCUUUCCGUCGCCGCUUUAUCUAUCUCCAAGUUUGGUAUAGCUCUAUUGUCGGAGGCAACCCCCAACUGUCGUUUGGCUCCGUUUUCUAUAUUUAUUGCUCUAUGGGCCAGCUCUCUCUUGCCCUCUUUCUCACUUCUUCCUGUCUCUAUCGUCUUGGCUUCCUCAUCCCACUCUUCCGUUUCCUGCCUUCUUCCACUUUGUUUAAAGAAGGAGGGCUGUAGACUACACAAAUCUUCCUCAAGUCCCUUCAAUAUGACACCUAUCUGCUUCCUAGCAUUCUGCCUGUUGUCAGGCAUAGUGCCAUCUUACUGAGGGUGAUGGAAGGUUGACAUCAGACAGAGCACCGAGGAUAAGGUCCGUGACUGGAGACAAGGCAAAACAUGAAGCAUGAAGCAGGGUCCGUGGUAAUACCGCAAGACAGGGCAAGGCUUGAAGCUUGAUCCGGGAAGCAAGGAACUGGGGAUUACGAAGUCCACACACGAUCUCUCUCCUGAAGGUGAUCAAUUGACUCCGCAAAGAAUCCCUCGUGCCAAACACCUAUAUUGGGUCUCGUUUUCCCGCCAACAGAACUCUUUCCCUAGAGAACGAGAAGCGAAACCCAACUCUGUCCAGAUGUAUGACUCCUUAGAAUUUCCCAAGGGAAGCAGGCCUAAUCAGCUUGAUAUUUGGCAGCGAUCCGUAAACUCCUCCGUUGGGCUUCUCUGACUCCCCUUUCUCUAGAAUAAGAUUCCUUCCUGUGAAACGGAGGGGAGUUCUGCCCAAGGCCUGUUUGGCUGAAUUCUUGAGGGCAAACAUCAACAUCCUGCAGGUAAAGGGACUCCGGCUCUUGCUGAACCGGCGAAAACCCCAUGUUUUCCUCUUCGUCUGCCACAAUAGUACUAGGAACAGGACUACAAGGCCCAUGAGUCAUCACACCACAUAAUAUUUGGGUAAUAAUAAUGGGUAAAAUCUAAUCUUUCAUGAAGAUAGCUUCUGCCUAGCUUUUGUAUUUUUAUACAUUCAAAACUUUUACCAAGAAAAAAUGUUUGAAUAAUAUAAACAAUGAUAC